UGGGGAAUUUUGGACAAUGGGGGAAACCCGUGAUCCAGCCAUCCCCGCGUGUGCGAUGAAGGCCUUCGGGUUGUAAAGCACUUUUGGCAGGAAAGAAACGUCGCGGGUUAAUACCCCGCGAAACUGACGGUACCUGCAGAAUAAGCACCGGCUAACUACGUGCCAGCAGCCGCGGUAAUACGUAGGGUGCAAGCGUUAAUCGGAAUUACUGGGCGUAAAGCGUGCGCAGGCGGUUCGGAAAGAAAGAUGUGAAAUCCCAGAGCUUAACUUUGGAACUGCAUUUUUAACUACCGGGCUAGAGUGUGUCAGAGGGGAGGUGGAAUUCCGCGUGUAGCAUGAAAUGCGUAGAUAUGCGGAGGAACACCGAUGGCGAAGGCAGCCUCCUGGGAUAACACUGACGCUCAUGCACGAAAGCGUGGGGAGCAACAGGAUUAGAUACCCUGGUAGUCCACGCCCUAAACGAUGUCAACUAGCUGUUGGGGCCUUCGGGCCUUGGUAGCGCAGCUAACGCGUGAAGUUGACCGCCUGGGGAGUACGGUCGCAAGAUUAAAACUUAAAUGAAUUGACGGGGGUCAUAGCUGUUUCCCU
rnacentral:rRNA from 1 species